AGAAGAGCAGCAGGCUAAGGGACUCCUGGUGUUCACCUGACCCUGGGCCAGGGACUCCCACCCAUCAGUUCCUGAUGUCAUGCAAUGGAGACAGUAACAUGAAGCCAGGACUCUGCAAAACUGAGAACAGGAGAAGGGAGAGAAUGCAGCUCACCUGGACUGGUGCUUUGUGAGAGUUGCUUAGCAGAAGCAAACAUGGUGGCCACAGAUUCUAGAAACUAAACCAGAGACAAUUAGAAAUAGCCGUAGGAUCUGGGAGCCCGAGUCAUCACUGAAUUGCUCAUGGAAUGGAUGUAACAGCUUGACAGACUCUCCAAAACUUGGGAAAGAAAAACCACACAUAGUGGGAGUUAUUUAUCGUCAUACAAUCAAAACAACCAAAUACUGUCAGCAAGACUUCCCCAGAGAAAUUCCAAGCCCAACUCACCUGCACACUGCGACCUGGCCCACUUCA